GGGGGUGAAAAGGUUUCGACGGGAAUCAUGGGGAUUGUCGAGGCAUGCCGAGGAGACUACCUUCUCGUUAAACUGGUGGUAAAAGAAUAUUUGCAAACGAUAACUUUGCACUCGCUGCUUAAUUGACAGCGACGUCCGCUUCAGAUGAUGUUGUCUUAGCUGAAGACCGGAUGCCAUAAAAUGACAACUGGGUCUGCUGAUACCGAUAUUGCAGGCUGAGAAAACAUCGGUUGGCUUUCCGAAAGGUUUGACGGUUAAUCCUCCGGAAAGUGAGACCCUGCAAAUCGCUAAGCAUGUAGAAUCGGCUUUUGACAUAUUUUCGGACGCGGGUUCGACUCCCGCCACCUCCACCA
rnacentral:tmRNA from 1 species